GGGGGUGUAGCUCAGAUGGUAGAGCACUCGCUUUGCAUGCGAGGGGCAGGGGGAUCGAUACCCCCCACCUCCA
rfam:Entamoeba invadens IP1 unplaced genomic scaffold scaff_1105074724783, whole genome shotgun sequence.